UGUGACGCUGGCGGCGUGCCUAACACAUGCAAGUCGAGCGGAGUUACUCGCUGGACGAGGCCUUCGGGCCGAGUCCUUGAGUAUCUUAGCGGCGGACGGGUGAGUAACGCGUGGAUAAUCUGCCCUACACACCGGGAUAACAAUCGGAAACGGUUGCUAAUACCGGAUAAGCUUACACUGUCGCAUGGCAGAGUGAGAAAAGAUUUAUCGGUGUAGGAGGAGUCCGCGUUAGAUUAGCUAGUUGGUGGGGUAACGGCCUACCAAGGCAGCGAUCUAUAGCCGAACUGAGAGGUUGAUCGGCCACACUGGGACUGAGACACGGCCCAGACUCCUACGGGAGGCAGCAGUGAGGGAUAUUGCACAAUGGACGGAAGUCUGAUGCAGCAACGCCGCGUGAAUGAAGAAGGCCUUCGGGUCGUAAAGUUCUAUCGAUGGGGACGAAACAAAUGACGGUACCCAAGUAAGAAGCCCCGGCUAACUACGUGCCAGCAGCCGCGGUAAAACGUAGGGGGCAAGCGUUACCCGGAAUUACUGGGUUUAAAGGGUGAAUAACCGGUCAGGCAAGUCACAUGUGAAAUCCCGAAGCUCAACCUCCGGGACUUGCAUGAAACUGCUAGACUAAGAGUGCCAGGAGAAGGUAAGCCG
rnacentral:rRNA from 1 species